UACAGAGGUCCCAAGCGUUGUUCGGAUUCAUUGGGCGUAAAGGGUGCGUAGGCGGCGCGGUAAGUCGGGUGUGAAAUCUCGGGGCUUAACUCCGAAACUGCAUUCGAUACUGCCGUGCUUGAGGACUGGAGAGGAGACUGGAAUUUACGGUGUAGCGGUGAAAUGCGUAGAUAUCGUAAGGAAGACCAGUGGCGAAGGCGGGUCUCGUGGACAGUUCCUGACGCUGAGGCACGAAGGCCAGGGGAGCAAACGGGG
rnacentral:rRNA from 1 species